CUAAUGCGCCUUGAAAUGAGGAACACAAAAGUCACGUGUAAACAAAAAAUCUCUGUGUAGUGAUAUUUGACACAUUUCUAUGAUAAACAAAUAACUGAGCUGAACCAUUAGUGUUAAUUUAGAAAAUAAGGGAACACAGAAUAAAUGUGUAAAAACCAUGGAGCUAUGAAAUGUGUUCAAAGUAUUAAAAUUUCAAAGAACUUAUUGUGUUAAAAUUGGGAUUUUUUACCAUGAGGAGCGACAUCGCAAAAGGAUACUCGGGGUUUGCUAAAUUACGGAAAAAUGAAUCACACUUCGUACCCCGAAAAUUUAACCACAUAUGUAAAAAUGUCUCAGCUUCGAAACAAGCCAUCAUACAUAUACAAGUUUACGAUAUAGGCUGAGCAACAGAAGAAAACGUUACCAUUACGGCCUAUGGAAUAACAAUUGCGCAUAUUGCCCCAUCUUGUGAGCUAGGAUCCAGAGAUGUCUUAAGCUAAUUUCACCUUGUACACCACAGAAAAUUGUUAAAAUGAUGUUCCAGACAUAUCAUUACUUUUAAAUAUGAGAUGACAAACUAAAGGUUUUAAAAAGUCCUGAAUAACUGAAAUGGACAAAAAUACACAGAUUUAUUCAGAAUGUCAUACCGAUGAAGAUCACCUAAAAAUAUUUGGAAAAAUCAGAACUAUGGAUUUCAAUAUGGGACAAUACCCCUAAUGCGCCUUGAAAUGAGGAACACAAAAGUCACGUGUAAACAAAAAAUCUCUGUGUAGUGAUAUUUGACACAUUUCUAUGAUAAACAAAUAACUGAGCUGAACCAUUAGUGUUAAUUUAGAAAAUAAGGGAACACAGAAUAAAUGUGUAAAAACCAUGGAGCUAUGAAAUGUGUUCAAAGUAUUAAAAUUUCAAAGAA